rnacentral:rRNA from 1 species
GGCGGACGGGUGAGUAACGCGUAGGAAUCUACCUAAUAGUGGGGGAUAGCCCAGGGAAACUUGGAUUAAUACCGCAUACGCCCUAAGGGGGAAAGCGGGGGAUCUUCGGACCUCGUGCUAUUAGAUGAGCCUGCGUAAGAUUAGCUAGUUGGUGAGGUAAGAGCUCACCAAGGCGACGAUCUUUAGCUGGUCUGAGAGGAUGAUCAGCCACACUGGGACUGAGACACGGCCCAGACUCCUACGGGAGGCAGCAGUGGGGAAUAUUGGACAAUGGGGGCAACCCUGAUCCAGCCAUGCCGCGUGUGUGAAGAAGGCCUUCGGGUUGUAAAGCACUUUCAGAUGUGAGGAAAGGUUGCAGAUUAAUACUCUGCAGCUGUGACGUUAACAUCAGAAGAAGGACCGGCUAACUCCGUGCCAGCAGCCGCGGUAAUACGGAGGGUCCGAGCGUUAAUCGGAAUUACUGGGCGUAAAGCGCGC